UCCGGGGUAGCUCAGUUGGUAGAGCACGCGCCUGUUAAGCGUGUUGUCGCGAGUUCGAGCCUCGCCCCCGGAG
rnacentral:tRNA from 1 species